GACGAACGCUGGCGGCGUGCUUAACACAUGCGAGUCGAACGGAAAGGCCCUGCUUUUGUGGGGUGCUCGAGUGACGAACGGGUGAGUAACACGUGUGUAACCUGCACUUGACUUUGGGAUAGCUUAAGGAAACUGGGGCUAAUACCGGAUAGGAGCUCUUGCUGCAUGGUGGGCGUUGGAUAGUUUCGGCGGUUGGGGAUGGACUCGCGGCUUAUCAGCUUGUUGGUGGGGUAGUGGCAUACCAAGGCUUUGACGGGUAGCCGGCCUGAGAGGCGGACCGGCCACAUCAGGCCUGAGAUACGGCCCAGACUCCUACGGGAGGCAGCAGUGGGGAAUAUUACACAAUGGGCGGAAGCCUGAUGCAGCAUCGCCGCGUGCGGGAUGACGGGCUGCGGGUUGUAAACCGCUUUCGCCUGUGACGAAGCGUGAGUGACGGUAAUGGGUAAAGAAGCACCGGCUAACUACGUG
rnacentral:rRNA from 1 species